UACGUAGGGUGCGAGCGUUGUCCGGAAUUAUUGGGCGUAAAGAGCUCGUAGGCGGUCUGUCGCGUCGGUCGUGAAAACUUGGGGCUUAACCCUGAGCUUGCGGUCGAUACGGGCAUGACUGGAGUUCGGCAGGGGAGACUGGAAUUCCUGGUGUAGCGGUGAAAUGCGCAGAUAUCAGGAGGAACACCGGUGGCGAAGGCAGCUCGCUGGGACGGUACUGACGCUGAGGCGCGAAAGCGUGGGGAGCAAACAGG
rnacentral:rRNA from 1 species